rnacentral:tRNA from 1 species
UGCCCGAUAGCUCAGUUGGUAGAGCACUUGGCUGUUAACCAGGCUGUCGUAGGUUCGAGUCCUACUCGGGCAG